CGAAGGGUGCAAGCGUUACUCGGAAUUACUGGGCGUAAAGCGUGCGUAGGCGGUUUGUUAAGUCUGAUGUGAAAUCCCCGGGCUCAACCUGGGACCUGCAUUGGAAACUGGCGAGCUAGAGUACGGUAGAGGGUGGUGGAAUUCCCGGUGUAGCAGUGAAAUGCGUAGAGAUCGGGAGGAACACUCGUGGCGAAGGCGGCCACCUGGACCAGUACUGACGCUGAGGCACGAAAGCGUGGGGAGCAAACAGGAUU
rnacentral:rRNA from 1 species